AUCGUUCAUUCGCUAUUCGCAAAUAGCGAACGCAAAAGCCGACUGAAGGAACGGGAC
rnacentral:ncRNA from 2 species